rnacentral:rRNA from 1 species
UAAUACGUAGGGUGCAAGCGUUAAUCGGAAUUACUGGGCGUAAAGCGUGCGCAGGCGGUUUGGCAAGAAGGAUGUGAAAUCCCAGGGCUUAACCUUGGAACUGCAUUCUUAACUGCCAGGCUAGAGUAUGUCAGAGGGGGGUAGAAUUCCGCGUGUAGCAGUGAAAUGCGUAGAGAUGCGGAGGAAUACCGAUGGCGAAGGCAGCCCCCUGGGAUAAUACUGACGCUCAUGCACGAAAGCGUGGGGAGCAAACAGG